CCUACAGGAGGCAGCAGUAGGGAAUAUUGCUCAAUGGGGGAAACCCUGAAGCAGCAACGCCGCGUGGAGGAUGAAGGUUUUCGGAUUUUAAACUCCUUUUGUUAGAGAAGAUAAUGACGGUAUCUAACGAAUAAGCACCGGCUAACUCCGUGCCAGCAGCCGCGGUAAUACGGAUGGUGCAAGCGUUACUCGGAAUCACUGGGCGUAAAGAGCGCGUAGGCGGGAUAGCAAGUCAGAUGUGAAAUCCUAUGGCUUAACCAUAGAACUGCAUUUGAAACUGUUAUUCUAGAGUAUGGGAGGGGUAGGUGGAAUUCUUGGUGUAGGGGUAAAAUCCGUAGAGAUCAAGAGGAAUACUCAUUGCGAAGGCGACCUGCUAGAACAUAACUGACGCUGAUGCGCGAAAGCGUGGGGAGCAAACAGGAUUAGAUACCCGUGUAGUC
rnacentral:rRNA from 1 species